rnacentral:rRNA from 1 species
CAGCAGCCGCGGUAAUGCGGAGGGAGCUAGCGUUGUUCGGAAUUACUGGGCGUAAAGCGCACGUAGGCGGCUAUUCAAGUCAGAGGUGAAAGCCCGGGGCUCAACCCCGGAACUGCCUUUGAAACUAGGUAGCUAGAAUCUUGGAGAGGUCAGUGGAAUUCCGAGUGUAGAGGUGAAAUUCGUAGAUAUUCGGAAGAACACCAGUGGCGAAGGCGACUGACUGGACAAGUAUUGACGCUGAGGUGCGAAAGCGUGGGGAGCAAACAGGAUUAGAUACCCCCGUAGUCCCUGUCUCUUAUAA